rnacentral:rRNA from 1 species
AUACGGAGGACCCGAGCGUUAUCCGGAUUUAUUGGGUUUAAAGGGUGCGUAGGCGGAUUAGUAAGUUAGAGGUGAAAGCUCGAUGCUCAACAUCGAAAUUGCCUCUGAUACUGUUAGUCUAGAGUAUAGUUGCGGAAGGCGGAAUGUGUGGUGUAGCGGUGAAAUGCUUAGAUAUCACACAGAACACCGAUUGCGAAGGCAGCUUUCCAAGCUAUUACUGACGCUGAUGCACGAAAGCGUGGGGAGC